rnacentral:rRNA from 1 species
AUUGAACGCUGGCGGCAGGCUUAACACAUGCAAGUCGAACGAGUGGCGGACGGGUGAGUAAUGUUUGGGAAUCUGGCUUAUGGAGGGGGAUAACUACUGGAAACGGUAGCUAAUACCGCAUACCCUAGGAUGUGCCCAAGUGGGAUUAGCUAGUUGGUGGGGUAACGGCUCACCCAGCCGAUGAUCUCUAGCUGGUCUGAGAGGAGGACCAGCCACACUGGGACUGAGACACGGCCCAGACUCCUACGGGAGGCAGCAGUGGGGAAUAUUGCGCAAUGGGGGCAACCUGACGCAGCCAUGCCGCGUGAAUGAAGAAGGCCUUCGGGUUGUAAAGUUCUUUCGGUAGCGAGGCGUUAACUACAGAAGAAGCACCGGCUAACUCCGUGCCAGCAGCCGCGGUAAUUC